UGUCGAUGAAGAGCGCAGCCAACUGUGUGAAUUAAUGUGAACUGCCUACUGCUUUGAACAUCGACAUCUUGAACGCAUAUUGCGGCCAUGGGUUUUCCUGUGGCCACGCCUGUCCGAGGGUCGGCUUAUAAACUAUCACGACGCCCAAAAAGUCGUGGCUUGGGUCUUGCCAGCUGGCGUGAUUUCCCUGUGCUAUUGUGUAGGGUGCCAGAUCUAUGGCUUUUCCCUAAUGUGCCGGACGCAACCAUAUCUGGGCUGACUGCCUAGGUGAGGGAGUGGCGGCGGAGUCGUGGCUCAAUGAUAUUGUACGUGGUAAAUGUGCGCGCUCCGUUGUCUGUUCUUCAUCCUGGGUUGAGGCUUUGUCUAUGGCAAUGCAUCUGUUGUUGUUUGUUUUGCACUCCUGUGCUUGACCUCCCUGACCUCGGAUCAGACGUGAAU
rnacentral:misc_RNA from 1 species